AAGAAGAGAGCUAGACAUGGUGGGACACGAAGAAGCGCUCCGUCGAGCGGAACGCUAUAGGGGGCGGGUCCUCGCUACGUCGGGCGAAACGCGGUAGGGAGCAAAAGGAUCAUGGCCGCUGUGGUCGAGGAGGUCACGGUCAACGGUGAAGGGAUCUUGGCGCAGGUUGGACUGCUACUUCCCCUUCUCGCUCUUGCCGUCAUCUUGGCCUUCUUCCUCACAAUCGCUGAGGGUGGCAGUGGCGGGGGAGCGGGAGCGGGAGAUGAGCUUGCCUUGGGCUGGAUUCUUGCCGGAUCCGGUUGUCACGGGAGCAUUGUGGAGUGUCUUGCCGAGGAUGAGUUCGAGCUGGGGACGGAGGCGACUCAUCACAUCCUCGCCCGCUCCACCAUCACCCCCUUUCGGUCUCUCGAGAUGAAAAGGGUGUGAUGGUUUCUUCUUCUUUUAAGAAGAAACCAUCCUUGCCUACUCCGUCGAUUGGUUUCUUCUUCUUUUAAGAAGAAACCAUCCUUGCCCACAUGCGAGAUGAUUUCUUCUUAAAAGAAAGGUGUACCGCUCAAUACACCCUAGCGUAUCGCUCGAUAUGUUGUACCAUACUGUACCAAACAAAGCUCGGUACACCGGUAUGGUAUGAAAUUAAAAACCUUGCAUAUUACAAUUGUUAAUCUCCAGUUUUUAGUUGCAAAUGUUUAAUUUUUCCACCUUGAUGUUGUCCAGACAUCAGCAUAUGCUAUGCAAUAGUUAAGAAUAAUUUGUAAUAUGCAUAACAUUAGUGUUGGAAUUCUUUCUUUUUGCAGAUGAUGUUAUAUGGUGCAAUAUUUGGUUGUUUAUCACCAAUUCUUUCACUUGCAGCAUUUUUAAGUUAUAAGUUUCCAUUUGUGUAUCCGAAAGAUGAGGUAUAUUGCUAAACUAUAUAUGGUAAUAUGUUGUUUUUAACUUCUGGAUUCAUAUUUAUAACUUAUCUUGAAGUUUAAUACUUUAUGAUGCAGAAACAAAAUGUAGAGAGAGCAAAAUCAGCAUUAUUAGGUAAUAGCCUGAAUAAUGAAUCUGCUUACGAGGAAAGUUAUAAACAAUCAGAUCACCUCUUGAUGGUUGUUGCCUAUAACAAGUGGGCCAGAAUUUUGCAUCAGGUUUUUAGUUUUUUUUUCUUUUAUGUUCCAAUUAAUUCCAUUUUCCUAUGCUGAAUUCUCUUUAAUCAUAUUGCUAUUAGCAAUCAUGAUUUUUUUGGUUUGCCUCGACCGUGAUAUUGGUGUUGAAUGACAUAUGUUACAUUUCAAUGACAAGUUGUUUACAAUACUUGCUAAAGGUUCACAUCAUUGCAGGAUGGCACAAGAUCUGCUCAACAAUUUUGUCGUUCUUUUUUCUUGAACAGUUCAGUAAUGUACACGAUAAGGUUAGAACUUGUUGAGGAAUUUACUACAUUGACAAUGCUCCAGACUCUUUCUGCACUGUUGUUUGACUUACUCUACUUUUGGCCUUCUAUGGUGACGGAGACAGAAGUUCUGUUUUAUGGUUCUUCACAUCUUCUGGCUACAUCUCGACUCUUCUCAUCUUUAUGAUAAUUGUCUUGGUUUAUGUCUUCAUAUAGGAGAAUAUCAUAUAAUAAUAGCUAUUCAGUUAGGCAUACUUUUCUUAUUUAUUCAAGCAGCAUGAGUGAACUGGAUUAUGUUAUGUAUGUUAUACUAUCAGAAUUCACUUGUCAGGGACAUGCGUGUACAAUUUGGAGGUCUGUUAGCAGACAUUGGACUUGUUGAUCUGCCAAAGCAUCUCCUGGUAAUAUUCUGGUAACAUAUUUCGGACUAUGCUAAAGCUUAUUAUUCUAUCAAACGACAUCUUUUUUCAUCAGGAAAGGUCAUGUUUUGUCAAUAUUACUGUUUGCUUUCAUUUACAUGAUAUGAAGAUCAAAAUAGCGUAGUCUCUUUUGGACAACAACGUGGGAAUUUGACACUCUCUUUUUUUAAUCUUAAGGUUGAUAUUUUAAAAUAGAAGAUGUCUAGUCAUAAGCAGUGACUCUGUGAAUCUUUGUUUUACACACCAGUGGGGCUCUUAGUGAAAUUAAAUUGGAGAACCAAUUAGUGAGACAGGAAAAUUUGGCAGAAAACGAGCCUUUCUUGCUAAGCAAGAAGGGGUUAUUGGAGAGGAGAAAUGAGUCUCAGUGACUGAUCAAUUGAUCUCAUAUGCAUCAUUUUUGUGUGUCUGCAUGUAUAUGAGAUACAGAUUGAUAAUUAGGUAGACCACUUGGCCAGCCCCCAUUUCUUUUGCUCGUCUUCAGUCCAUCACGACUUCUAAAUGCUUUUCUCAUCAUGGAAACAGAAAUAUAACAUCACUAUGCAUAUGAUUCAUUCGAGAGUAAACAAAUGCUACCUAUCUAAAAUUCAUUGAGGUUUGUUCUUUCUGAAGUUACAUGAUUAAAAGUAUUUCUCAUAAUAUAUAAAAGCUGAAGUGAUUAGGAUAUUGAACUUGCCUAAAUGUUCAACUUCACUUGUAGAUGUGGAUUUUUUUUUUUAUGCCAAUUCAAACCAUGGUUCCUUAUUGUCUGAGGUUGGCAUGUGCUAUGACAAGGGCCUCCAUGAAUAUGCUGGUUUUAUAUCAUCUCGAGUAGCAUAUAGAGUAAACAAGACAUUUUGCAUAGUGCCGAACACCAAUAACCUAUCAAGCCAGUGAACCCCAGCUAGCAUGGACCAUAAUCAUUUUGGUGAAGUGCAACUGAAAAGGUUGACUUUUGGUUUAGAAAUAGGCAAACUAUGUCAUUUACAUAUACUUCAGAUUUUCUAACAUAGAAAAAUAUUUCUUGAUUGACCAUUGUGCUUUGCAUCUUUACUAAGUUAACAUAGCAGGGGUGUGGGCUUUAUAAUUAUGCAUUAAGCAACAGUGCUUCAGCUUUUCUGAUUUCUGUUAGCACCUUUUAUGAUUGACUAAAAGUUUCAUUUUGUUUGUGGCUUUAUCUUUUUGUUAAUGUACUCGUGAAAACCAUUAAUCAGAUAGAUAAGAAGGGUAUAUGUUCAUCCAUCAUCACAUCUUGUACCUCUCUCUUGUUUUUAUUUUUUUUUUUAUGUGGAUUUCGAACUGUGCAUAUAGGCCAAACUGGUCAUGCUGAUCUUAACCUUAAUAUUUCUUGACUGAGCUUCAUGCAAAUAAUCCAUUAACGUGUCUGGGGCUUACUACUGUUUAAUCAAGUUACAUGACUUUGACUCAGAUCAUUGGUUUACUACAUCUAUAUGACAUUUAAUAUUGCAUCAAAUUCUUUAGAUUUUCUUUUUGAAUUUGCUAAGGGGCCUCUUGUUUCAGUAGAGUUAUGAAAGAAGGAAAGACAAACUUGACAGUUGGUUUUCUGACAUGUCUCAACCAUUCAACCUGAAUGCAAAUCAUCCAUCAAUCAUUAAGGUGAAUAUCUUUUUGUUCCCUGGUACAUGUGAACAUGGUUAUUACAGAAUUUAUGUUCUUUUGCCAAUUUUAUGCAGUUUAUUUAUCAACUGGUGUUUGAAGUUCUCAGUAUGUUUUGUCCUUUUCAGUUGUGUAAACAGUUUGUUAUGUUAUCCAGUGGUGUAUACGAUGCAGACCUUGAUGUCCGAAGUUCUUCUUCUAGAUAGGCGAUAUAUUCAUCUUUCUCACUACUAUGUUUUUAAGAUGCAAGUAUUGUUAUGUUAUAGCAUCGGAAGUCCUCAGUUCCACAAGUUUAUUGAUUCUGCAAUAAUCCUUGGUAUAUUACACUGUCAUCUUAUAGAUCUUUUCUGCUGGUAACUUGGACUUGUUUGUAAUAAUGUAGUUAAGAAAAUAUGAUACUUUUAGAUUCUGAAGUUUUAAAACCAGAACUUAUCAGAAUGUGAAAAUCAUAUUGCCAAAUCAUUUUCUCUCCUGUUUCUUUUUUUUAUGCAAACUCAUUGCUAUUAUAUUUUUAUUAAUUUGUUAAUUUUCACUUCUGUGGAAGAUAAUAUCGCAUGGUUCUGUUCCAGUAAUAAUAUGUGCAGGUCUUUAUCAUAGUGCCUAAUUUUUCCCCUUUUUUUAUUAAGGCAAAUUAAUUCCUAUUAGUUUUUUAUUGGACUAUUGAUUUUUACUUAUCUGGAAGAGAAAGAUAUCUCAUGGUUCUGUUGCAGUCAAUAAUAUGUGCAGGUCUAUAUCCAAAUGUUGCUGCAACCACAGAAGGUAUUGUUAAUUCAGCUUUAGCGGGGACUACAUUACUAGCCAGUGGCCUUCCUCUGAAGGAUCAAACAGUAUUAUAUGAUGGAAAGAGAGAAGUUCACAUACAUCCUUCUUCUGUGAACCACAACGUGAAACAUUUUAGAUAUCCAUUUCUUGUCUUCCUUGAAAAGGUGCACUUGAAUCUGUUUCUUAUGAAGUUUCUCUUUUUCUAUGUUAGUCAUCAUGUUAAUGUUGGUUUCGGUGCCCCUACAUGAUGAUGGGAUUUCUUGAUCAAAGAUUUUUGUUAGUUAAUUGUUUCUUGAGUGUGUUCAACACUAAUAAAAUGAUCCAUCAUGCAGUAUUAAUGAUAAUUCAGAACUUUCUAGAGCUUAUUGGUUUUCCAGAUCUCAAAGCAAGGCCAUUAUGCCUUUCUUACCUGAUUAAAUAAUGAGAGCACUAUGUAUUCAAUUUAAUCAAUUUAACAGUCUUCUCUUAAAUUUGUCCUGAGAUUGCUGCCUCAUCCAAUAUGCCCGAAAUUUGGUAGCUUGGUCUUUUACAAACUUAUAGUAAUUACUUUGCUCAUGCUGCAUGGUAUAUUAGCAUUUUUCUGUCUAAUUUCUUGCAUAGCUAAGAAGUACCCCAAGUUCCAAGGUCAUCCUUUCUUCAAGGCCAAGGUUGUAGAGGUUGAUUGCAUGCACUACUUUGUGGCUGUUAAAAAUGUGUAUACUCCUAGGCCGAUCGAACAGAUUCUAUGAUUCAAUUUUCAAUAUGUAUACCUCUAAGCUGACAGAAGAGAUUCCGUGAUUCAAUUUUUAACUUACAUGUUAAAAACAUGUAGAUCUAUAUCUGUGAUGAAUUCCUUGUUGCAUGCCUAUCCUGACAUGAAGAGUGUUGAGUUUCACGAUCCUUUGGCGAAGCAAAUCAGCCUUUACUGAUAACUGUUUUUCUCCAAUCUAUCCAUUUUAGAAGGUUUUGGGUGGGUAGGUCUUUAUUAGAUGCUUUUAAAUAUUUUUGGUUGGAGAUUUAAUAAUCUAGAUAUAAGGAGUUAAGGACACUAUCUAGAUGAUCCAUUCCUAAACAUAGUGUGAUCAGUUUUUUAUGUUAUUACAUAAUUUGAUUGUUUGCUGAUGGUAACAUGAGAAUAACUUACACCACCUGUUGAAGUUUUAGCUUGAAAGAAACUAAGAAAAAGAUACAUCUUGGAUCACAAGUAAUGUUUUGCAGGAAAUCUCUUAUUAGUAUACUAUCUGUAUGCCUUAUGUUCUUUGUCAUUGUGAUGUUGCCAUUAAGAUUGCAAGUUAGGUCUGGUCUUGUGUGUUUUAAUUGUUAACAAAUGGGAUUUUAUAUAAGUUAUAUCAGUUGGAGACAAUAGAGAUACUCGGUAUAUAUUUUACAGACUAGUUUUUAUAUAGGAGAUGCAGUUAAUUGGAAAUAGUGAUAGUUUCAGCACUAAUUUCGCUAUUCUUUUAUAGGUUGAGACCAGCAAGGUUUUUCUACGUGACAGUAGCAUCAUCUCUCCAUACUCUCUUUUUUUAUUUGGGGGCUCCAUGUCUAUCCAGCAUCAGGUAAACUUCACAUAUUGCAGUUAACUUUGUGCAUGUUCAUUGCUGCUUGUGUAGUUUACAUUAGUUGUUAUUGUUGUUUCUCUCACCAUACUAGCUUUUGACACACAAGUGUACUGUAUCGUUGAUGAUCUUCUUCAUCAAUGCAUCCAACAGUAAUGUUGAUAGGACAGAUCUCCUAUCAGGGUGCAACUCUUCUUUGAAGAAACAUAAUGCCUCCAAGAGAAUAAGAGGGAAGAAGAGAUCAUAAUGUAAGCUUAAUUGCAAAUAAACAGAAUAUCAAUCUACUACACUUCUUGAAGUUACAAUCUCACUUGCCUACAUGUCAUUCCACCACUAAAAUGGCCUUGUAGAUCUCAAGAUAUGAAUCCUAAUAGCUAAACAACUUAUCUAGCCUAAGUGUAAUCAUACCAAGACUCUUAGUCAGCAAGUAGACUAGAGUUGCAAAACACCUUCUAGAAUAUCAAAGAAGUGCAUGAGGAAGCUUGGGUCAAUCCCCUAAUUUCCUGUAUCGACUAGGGUUGGGUUAGGAGUCUUUUUUCUGUGCUUGCUUUAAUUAGGAAUCAAUGUUUGCAAGAUCAGCAUCUAGUUAGAAAUUGGUUAUGAUGAAAAUCAUAUUUUCUUGGGCUUACACUAAUCUUGGGAUCAUAAGGAUCAAUUAAAUUAGAUUGACAUGAAUGGGAUCCACUGAGAAAAUACUUUAAAAUAAAAAAAUAAUAUUGUCAAAAGGACAAAAAUAUUAUAUUAUAUCAUUUUAAUAAAUACCUAUUAUUAUAUGUUAUACGAAAAAUGCAAAACUUUGCAGUUUUGAAGAUGGUGGUUGGUCCUAUGACCCAAUGUUUCACUGAUCAUAAUGCACGUGUUGUUUGGAGCAAGGUAGGCAAUACCGAAUGAUACCGCCCGUACCGGGCGGUACAUACUGGUUCGACGGCAUACCAGUACGCGGACCGUCCGCUAUCGGGCGGAACGAAAAAUAAUAAUAUAUACAUAUAUAUAUGUAUAUAUAUAUGUAUGUAUAUAUAAAUAUUUUAGAAAAAGGCAACGUCGCCUUUUUCGGAUUAUAUAUAUAUAUUUAUAUAUAUAUAUAUAUAUUCAUAUAUUUAAAUAAACGAGGCGACGUCGCCCCGCGUGGGGAAGGAAAAGGCGACAUCACCGAGGCGAUGCGACGUCGCCGAGUUAUAUAUAUAUAUAUAUAUAUACCGAGCGGUAUACCGUUUGGUAUACAGUUUCGUACCGUACCGAGCGAACGUUGAAACUCCGGUAUGGUACGAAAUUGCAGACCUUGGUUUGGAGCAAUUCAAAUGCAAAUAAAAAACUUUAUCUAAUAACACAUGGGAUUUGGGAAAUUUUGAAUCUAAUGGCAUCUUCGUUCUCUGUAAAGCAUUCAUAUUUUCUCAAAAGUUCUCUAUCCUCUUUGUUAUCUUUACCUCUCUGUCUUAUAUAUGGUGGACCAUGGUUUAGAAAUUUAGGCAGAUUCGUAUGUACCACUGUGUACCACCUGGUAUUUACCAGUCCACCCUAAAGCAACAUGUAGACCAAGCUGAACCACCUGGUCUGGUGGAAUAUUAGGGCUUUCGUCCACUAUGGGUUUUUUUAUCAUUACAGGGCUUGAACCGGGUAAUAAGGUCACUGCUCAAUUUUGGAUCCCAAGAGACCCACUAAUCUCUUAACUUUUUUCCUUGUUUCAUUUCAAUGCUGGUUAAUCUCUUUAUGCAACAAUAAGUAUGAUGCAUUUGCUUUGCUACUUCAGGCAGGGUUGAUCACUAUAGAUGGCUGGUUAAAAUUGACUGCUCCUGCACAGACGGCUGUUCUGUUUAAGGAACUACGCUUAACACUUCAUGCUGUUUUGAAGGAACUUAUCAGAAAACCAGAGGUAUAUGAGACUUUCCAACUUCUCAGUUAUGACAUCUUAUUUAUUCCCUGCUGAAGUCACAAAAUGCACCAUCAGAAGCAAUUUUUUUUAUCCUUCUUAGGUCUUUGCCGAACAUUUUUUUUCUAUAUUGUGAUGUUCAUGCUUGUUUGGUUUAGUAGAAACUUUGCAAUGUGCAUAUUACUAAAAUAAGUUAAUCUCGUUAAUCAUUGAAAAACAGAAUUUACCAAUUACCUGGAAAUAUUGCUGUUAUAUUCCAUGAUUUUCCAUUUUUUCUCAUUCAAGAUAUAUUAAUCUUGCACCAUAAGAUACUGGUUAUUCUUGCUUGGUUUCCACCAUUCUUUUGCUAUAUAUACUGAAUGAACCAUAAUUUAAUACACACAUUGCUCAGAUAAUCCUCUCUCAAUUUGUCACUUAAGAUAGCAAACAUAAAGCAUUUCUGUUCUGAUCUAUGAAUCGAGAACAGUUCUCAUAUUGACUGAAAUUAUAAUGCCUACUCUUUGCUUAUGCUAUUGACUACUUGUUAUCAAAUUUCAUGAUUGUACAAUUUUUUGAUUGGUAAUUGAUUUCUAUUGUUUUCUUGAAUUUCACAUUUAUGGCCUAACACACUUGAUAAAACUUAUUUCCAGACAGCUACAUUCUCAAAAAAUGAAGUGGUGAAAUCAAUUGUUCAGUUGUUGCUGGAGGAAGAUAAAGACCAAACGUCUUAAAAAUGAGGCAUGUAUGUUGAGUCCCCUUUAUAUGCACUGCCAAUCGUGGUGUAUGAAUGAAUUUGCAUAUCAAUUUUUCUAAGAGUAAAAUUUUGCAAGGGCAAUUAUGUUAUAGACUUUUAUUUGAGCAUCCAUAUUCCUGCCAUAAUUAAUGCUUUAGGCAGUCAGAAACCAAAUUAUAUUGCAUUCUGUUAUAUGUAUUUGAUAUUUGGAACAAGUUGAUGACUGCAUCAGGUUGUGACAGCUUUUAUUCAUUGGUCUUGACCUCGGUUAACCCACCAUAAGUUGAACUGUAGUGUUGGAUUCUUUUCCCAAAGAAUAUAUAUUUGUUGUUGGAAAGCUUGUCAUACAUGCCAUUUUAUUGAACCCAUCUACAUUCUUAAAAUGAAAGACUUCAAAUUGAAGCAUAAAAUUAAACAACCAAGACGGAAGGCUAGAAUGACAUGCUAAUUUGUUGAGAGUGAGGGCACCAGGGGUGGAUUUAUGCCGGUCCAUGGCUGGACCGGUAUGGGUCCAGUCCAUUGUUGGCAUAUCGUGUGUCAGUAAGUUGGACCAUACCGAAACUGUUCAGAGAGGGAGAGGAGGGUUGGAAGAAGGAAGAGAAGAAGGAAGAGGAAGUAGAAGAAGGAAAAGAGGAAGAAUUGAAAGAAGCAGAGUAGGAGGAGGAGGGAGAUUGAAGAAGAGGAUGAGGAAGUAGAAGAAGGAAAAGUGGAAGAAGUGAAAGAAGAAGAGUAGGAAGAGGAGGGAGAUGGAAGAAGAGGAUGAGGAAGUGAAGACAAGGAAGCGUGCCUGAAACCAUGUCAGCGGUGUACGUUGGGUGGCUGAGAGGCAGACGGCCUAACAUUCUGCCUGUGGAGAGGGAGAAAUGACAAGCCCUAAUCGUGACGUCUCACUUCCCUUUAAACAUUUUUUUUAAUUGACUGGACCGGACUGCCCGAAAUCGGGGCACUCCAUAUCUCAUUUUGGGCUCGAAGUGGUAAAUUUCGGCAAGUAUGAGCCAAACUAGAAGAAAUGUCCAUGACUGGAAGGUGUCAUAAACUGAGGUUUUAAAACGCUAACAAAAAACCGAAGGAGAUAGAGGGAUAAUAUUGGAGUGAUGGCAAAGAUGUCCCACUUGAAGGCAUCAUUAAUGCCAAAUAAGAGGGACUGGAGCCGCUUCAAGUUAUUCUUGAUCUCCUAGCACCUUGUUGUUUUUUGAAUGGCUAUACUAUUGCAUGGCACACAAUGGAAAGCUCUGCCAAGUGUGGUGGUGAAGGCAUAAAACUGGUUGUGCCCUGAUGCCAGAAGACUGACGUCUUCAAAGUGUGAUUGGUUGGGAAUGAAACAAUUGGGACACAACUAUGGUGGAAUCCUGAGAACAUUGAUCUCAUUGUUGGUGGCAAAUUUCUUAAUUGGAGACAAGGCCCUCAAUUUUGGAGUAUUCAAAACUUAAAACAUAGUCUUUCUUCGUCUUUUGCCUUGCAUAAUAAAUCACUCUGGUUCUUUCAGUAAAAAAGAUAGUCUCAAUCAUUUGAUUGCCUGAUGCAAUUGCAUAACUGAUCAACUGGACAUUUGACAAGGUUGGGUUCUCAAUUUUUCCAUUUGGAUAGAAGUCUAAUUUUGGUACAUAUUCUGAUAACCAAGUGUAGACCCUCAAUGCCCUUGAAAAAUCUUCAAGUUUUAUCUUCUUUAAAUUCACCAACUUUUAUCAAAAAGACCAUCCAAGCAUGCCUUUUUUUUUUGUCAGCAUAAGAAUUUUCACCAUUGGAUAUAAUCUGCAACACCGAGCUAGGUAGAUGGAGAAAUCCAAUACUUGCCAGCACAAGGUGCACCAUCAAUAUAAAUCCAAUACUUGCCAGCACAAGGACACUGGAGAAAAUUGUGGUCAGCAGAAUCAACAAUGAUGGCACAUGGAGCAAGGUGCACCAUCGAUCCAUCUUUUCUUUUAGAUAACCUCUUUGUGGUGAACUUUGGUUUUGAAGGUCAACCACAUUAAAGACUUGAUCUUGGGAUGCAAGUAUAUCUCCCAAUCAAUUUAGAGAAACUGCAAAAAGGACCAUCAAGUUUUAGAGAUUUCUGUAGUUGUUCAUCUCUAGAAAAGGAGUCUAUCAGAUGAAGGACAAAUUUCAUAUUCCAUGAAUCGAUACAAAAGGUAGAUCUUGUGUGGAGCCAGGAGUCCAAAAGUAAAGAAAACAGAAUAAUAGUUUUUGUCAGGAAGCAAAUGUUCUGAAUGGGUAGAACCAAUAGUCUGUCAAGCAUAAUUGGAAUUCAUAAAGGUCUGAAGGAAGGUCAGUUCCACUAUCCAAUCUAGGUAUCCUUCCAGAGUUUGUUCAGCUUCUGUUACCAUAAAGUUUGAGCUCGAUUUAAAGACCCAUUUAUAUAUGAGGAUGCCAUUCUAAAUAGGGGAAAAGAUUGAUUUUCUCAAGUGUGAUGCAAAAGGAUCUUUACUCCUCACUUCUUUUCUCUUCCUUACUUUCCGUCUCACAUGCCCUCUCUCACUCGUUCUCAGUCCCUUUAAAUCUCCCCCGAAUCUCUCUGAACCUUCUACCACAAGAACAAACAAGAAUAUCUAUAGAGGGCUAUAUACUCAAGAUUAAGAUCCAAGUCCAAAACCUGGUUCGAUUUCUUUUCAAAUUAAGAAAAAUCUAAACAUAAUCUCUAAUAUAAUUUCAUGCGACGAUGUUAAGGUUCAUUCUCUCUUCCAACUUUAGUGUAGAUCUCUUCCCUUUAGACCUCGAGCCUUGAUUUUUGUACAUUUCCGCUUGAUCAGUUUGAAUGUAGGCUAGAUCCACUCAUAUCUAGGCCUCAAUCCUUGAAGAUCUGGCCUAGAUAUAUGUUUUGAUUUAAUUUAUUGUUUUUAGAUUUAAAUCACUUUUAUCAUUAUCAAUGUUGAUUGUAUAUGCCAAGAAAAGAUGAGAAAGAAUCCUAAAUUAGGUUUUUUUUGGUGGCCAAUUUUUUUGGCUAUAUAUUAUUUGUGUAUUUUGUUGGUAUGCUGUUAUUUAACAAAUCCAUGUUGUUCCAAGCCGGGACCAGUAUAGGCCCAAUAAAUGAAAUUGAAUUCGUUGCUCUCAACAACAGAUAAAAUGAUAUCUUUCACCUACCAUGGUGGAGCUAUGUUUCCAUUAAUAAGAGAUUAUCUAGCCAUCAUGUCUGAUGACUUGCAACAACUUGCAGGUCCUUUUGCUCCCAACACUUGAACAAUCACCAAGUAUUCUUGAUAAGAUCCUUAGAUUCAGAGUUGGUUCUUCUGAAGAACACAAGUUUAUUGCUUCCAUAGCUUCCAACUGAAUGGUAUUAUAGAAUCAUCCAAGAUAUGAAAGUAGAUCACCAAUCUCUCCGAAAUCUUCUGAGAAGGAAACCAUGGUAAUUUUAACAGCCUAGCAGCCAGCAUAUGUACUUCAGAGAUCUUAUUCAACUUGAUGUGAAUAUGAUCCUUAUCUAUAGGGUUCCCUGAUCUUAAGCCCUGUUGUAUAUUUUGUUCAUUUGGCACUAUUGGGUAUGUUUGUUCAGUGGCUUGUAGUAAUCCUAAUUACUAAAAAUGCUUGUUAGAUGUACUGGUUUUUUUUUCUGUACUUGUAGAGUUGACUUUCUUUUGCUUUAAGAAGUUGUAUAUAUCGGCAAGUGGCAAAAAUAUGCAAUGUAAAGGAUAUUGGAGUUAAAUUUUGAUAAUUUCAUCACAAAGACUGCAUUAUUCAGCUUCUUUGGUGUUUAAUGUGUCAAUGCUUGGUAUGGUCCAAUAGACCUGGGUCAUACCUGUGGUGUUGUGUUUCAUGUUAAUGAUUCAAUAUUUAAUAAUAUUCUAGAAUCUAGACAUUUAAAGUCGUUUUGGAAUGGUGUAACUUCUUGGUUUCAUGCGGUUGCAAGGGAAGUUAGUUUGCAUUUUGUCAGUCAAUAGCCAAUAUUUUCAAUUUUGCAUUCAUGAAUAGCAACAUGUACAAUUGUGGGACAGGUAUAGGUUGUCAGGAAGCUUAUUUCUUUUUUGAUGGUUCAAGAUGCACAGGAAAUAUAGACCUUACCCUCAUAAUGAAUUUGGUCUCUAACUCGCUGUAGUUGAUGCCUUUAUUGUAAUAAUAGUAGUAUCUUGGUCUGGAACUUUAGCCAUGGACUCGGUCCAUGCUAGAAGAAGAAAAGAAUUUUGCUCGACUUGUCAUCUUUGGCAAUCUAGGAUUUAAUCAUCAUUGUCCACAUUUUCUGUGACCAAAUUUCGACUUGUUCUUUUGCCACAUCUGGUUAUUUGAAUGUCCUUAAGAACUACUCAUUCCAAUGAAAUACUUUUGAGGCUUAAUACCAUGGUUUGCAGUACCGGUCCGUACCACCCGGUACGGGCGGUACGUACCGGUCCGACAGACUUUCGGUACGCGGACCAUAUGUUACCGUUCCGACACAGUGCUCGGCACGCCUGAAUAUACCGCUCGGUACACUUGGGUGUACCGAGCAGUAUACCGUACCGUACCGGUACCGAGCCCAGAUCGAAACUCCGGUACGGUACGGUAUUGCGAACCUUGCUUAAUACUACUUUCAUUGCUUUGUUGCUUGAAGCUCAAUAUAAUCUCCUUGUAAGGGAGAUUGGGAGAGUUCAUGUUGAUUAGCUGUAGUACAUCCUACAUUGUAAUAUGGUUUUCUUAACUUUAUUGAACACUAAGCAACCUAUGCAGGUUUCUGAGGGACAUUCCUGGUAAAAGUGGGCAUGCCAAUAUUGGCAUCGGAUGAUAAACAAGUGGUGGAACAAUGAAACCUGGGCAAGACUCAAGGAACUUGACUCAGGCUACUCAUUUCAACGGCUAGAGUUCAAGAUCAAACAUAUUACACAGCUAACAAUCUAAAGAAGCUAGCUCCCUUGGCUUUCUUGGCAAGCUUAUUAUGGAAGACAUCCGGAUUAUAUGGUGAACAACUUCGACAUGUGGCCUAGUUCAACAUUUGCCAUAGAACAGGCUCUCUUAUUACACAUGUAGAACCUGUGCUAUUCGAUACAUUUUCUCCUAUUAAGUUGAACCUUGGCUGUGCGUCUUUCUCAAGUUCUGAAAACUGCUAUAAAUUGUUGGUUAGCACAAUUUGUGGAUUACUAACCACAACAAAUGCUUGAACUACUAUUCACAAUAUAGAUUUUCAGUUGAAUUUUCUGGCUCAGCAUUCGCAUGCCUUUUGUGCUAUCUUUUCACCCUCCAAUGUCAGAUAAAAGAGGGUUGCAGUAAAACCAUACUGUAUCUUGUAGUUACUGGUCCCUGGGGUUUUAUGGAUUCAGAAUCAUGUUUUCUCUAGAAAAUAUAAUAUGGCAGAUUUUAUAAAAGAAAAAGAUGUUUAAUCGUUCAAGAUCCAUGUUAUGAUAUGAAAUUGAAUGCAAUGUCAGGACAUGUAUGUUGAUAUUAUUUUAAUUGUAUAUGUACAUUUGGUAUGAGGUUCAAGCAUGAAGCAUAGAGAAAUUAUAGGUUGUUGAGUUAGUAGAAUUAACAUCAAAUGUAUGAAGUGCAUGAGAUGGUUAAAAUAGAUUAAAAGAAAUUGUUGAGAGGAGACAGGACACAUGUGCUUGACAAAUUAUAAUAUAAGAAAGGUUAAUUAGUAUACAUGGUGGGCACUGAUGCUGCCUUCACCAAGCUAAGUACAUGAUAAUUAUGUGUCAUCAUUGGUAAUGUUGGAUAGUUUUUCUCUGUGUAAUUCGAUAGUCAGAUCAGCAGCUAGUGGUUUCAAUUUCCUCAUUCUACUUUGGUCCAUUACUUUAUUGUGGUUGUGAAUCUAUUGCUACAGCCUUCAAUUAUCAAUGGUAUAUAUAACCUUCGGUCUUGCAGUUGUAGUAGCCCCGCAUCGAAAAUUUCAUGAUCAAGGACACAUGUCUCCCAGAUGCAACACAUGAUACAGGGAAGCAUCAGAGCCAUGUUGGUCUCAUGCCUGGCACACAUCAUCAUCAUCAUCAUCAUCAUCGUUCUCAUUUCUGCUUCCCACUCCAUGACCGGAAGAGCUGUCCCAGCAGAGUGACAUCCCUUGAUCAAGUCUACCAACAUUCAUUCUAAUUUAUUGUCUUAAUUUGAUAGGUAUAGAUAGAAUUACAAGAGUCAAAAAAAUAGUUAAGAUCCUCUCCCAUUUGCAGCUGACCAAACCUCCUUUUUGUUGUCAGGUUGGAAAAGGUCGGCAGCCGAGACCGAGAGGGGAUCUGCUUCCAGGAAACGGGACAAGACGACAAGCCGUGUCAAACCAAAGUGAUGAUUCCGCGCUGCUUCGCCACCUCUCUCCCCUUUGUCGACUGUCGCAUGGCAUCUUUUGAACCGUUCCAUUCUUUCCACCCGCUAUUCCUCCGACCCACCGUGGAGAAAAAGAAAAGAUGGCUGCCAACAGCAGAGAAUGAAGCAGCCCACCGUCUCGACCUGGGAAUCCGAGACACGAUAACUCCGACUCCACGAAAACCAAAAAGGAUAAUGACAUGAGAAGAAGAAGAUACCUCUUCCUCCUCCUCCUCCUCUCCUCUGCCGUCAAACGAGACGCACACCCCCACUCCCUUCUUCUCCCUUUCUCAUUCGAUCACACGCAACAGGUUCCCCAUGAAACUCCCUCCCAACUUCUCCUAAAGCUUCGCCUUUUUCCCUCGAGAUACGAUGGAAGAGGAAGGCCAAGGCAUCGGAGAGGAGCUCCUCAGCUUGGGCCUCGGCGUCGGCAGCACUCGGCGCUCUAAUGCCGCCGUCGGGAAGCGGAAGGCGAAAGACGCGGAGGAGAGGAAGCUGUUGGGUUUGCUCCAGGCCAGAGAAGACAUGCUGAGAGUAGACCCCAGGAGAAGCGGGCCGGAGGACAAGAGGGACCAGCGCUUGGUCCACCUGCUUCUCGCUGCCGCCGCCGCCGUCGACGCCGGUCGCGCCAGCGCCGCGAUGGACGCCCUGGUCGAGCUGUACCGGCACGCUUCCCUGCACGGCGACCCGAUGCAGCGAGUCAUGGCCUACUUCGCCGACGGCCUGGCCGCCCGGAUCCUGCCGGAAGCCUCCCCGCUCUACCAGUCCGUCAUGGCGCCUCCGACUGCCGAAGAGGAAUUCGCGGCCUUCACCGACCUCUACCGGGCUUCCCCUUACUUCCAGUUCGCUCAUUUCACCGCCAACCAGACCAUAAUGGAGGCCUUCGAGGCGGAGCAGCAGCACAACGGCGGAAGACUCCACGUGAUAGACUUCGACGUGUCCUACGGCUUCCAGUGGCCCUCCCUGAUCCAAUCCCUCUGCGAUAAGGCCACGACGAGCAGCCCGAUCUCCCUGCGCUUGACAGGGUUCGGCGGGAGCACCGAGGAGCUGGAGGAAACCGAGACGAGGCUCGUCGGUUUCUGCAAGGGCUGCAGCAAUCUGGAGUUCGUGUUCCAAGGGCUUCUGAGAGGCUCGACCGCUAAUGAUCUCAAGAUCGACAAGGACGCCACUCUCGCCGUGAACUUGGUCUUCUACCUGCAGACCCUGAAGACCUCGUCGGAGAUGCUUGCGACCUUGAUGUCGAUCCGCUCGCUGAAUCCACGAGCCGUGGUGGUCUUGGUGGAGAAGGAAGACAGCCGAGGCCCUGCAAGCUUCUUGGCGAGGAUGGUGGACUCUCUGAACUACUUCGCGGCCAUGUUCCACUCGCUGCACGACUGCCUCCCCGCGGAGAGCACGGAGAGGCUGAGCAUCGAGAAGAACCAUCUGGGGAGAGAGAUCAAGGCCGCCAUGGGGAAGAGCUCGCACCAGGAGAAGGUGGGGGGUCCUACGUGGAAGGGGAGGAUGGGGAGCGUUGGGUAUCGAGGAAUGAAGCUGAGUUCGAGGUCGGUGAGCCAGGCGAAGCUUCUGCUGAAGAUUAGGAGCCAUUUCUCGAGCAUCGAGCAUGUCAGCAACAGCGGGUUUGGGAUCGCGGAGGGAGACGACGGGACGACGAUAUCUUUGUGCUGGCAAGACCGGAAUCUAAUCACCGUCUCUGCAUGGCGAUGCUCGAGGUGACGAAGUCGGCGCGGCAGCGAAAGCUCCUUCGGCCACGCAAGAGUUGGUGUUCUUGAUGGCAUCCGUACUUUUGUAUGCAAAUGUCACUGCAUUCUUUGGUUGUUUUCUUAUGAAUCUCGAUACAUUCACAUCCAGCUUUUCUUUCUCAUAUCAAUACACCCAUACUAAUAAAAUUGAAGUCUUAAAAAGAUAUUCUCUUCCAUAUUAUGCGUCAAUUAUAUAUAUAAAUAUAUAUAUAUAUAUAUAAUUUAUUUAUUUAUUUAUUUAUUAGGAUCACUUGUUUCAGAAGCUUUGAUCUUUACCAAUUAGGCAAAAAAAGAUUAAUCAUUAUAAUGUAAUGGAAUGAAUCCUUCUGAUCGAUAAAAUUGAAACAUAUAAUAUAUUAUUUGUUGGGAGAAAAUAUCGUUGACGUCUUUAUCAGUCUAAUCCUAAACCUAAACUAAGAUCGAAAUUGAAAAAGGUUUUUUGAUCCCUCUAACGCUCUAGUUAAUCCCGAGAUCAAUUUUUGUGGAUCUAUAUUUUCAAUUUCAGCACCUCAGGGUAUGUAUUUUAUAUCUAAUAUUGAAGAAAUAAAAUAUUUCUAUGAAGAUUCUAUAGGGAAUGUGAUUUAUAAUCAUCCUAAACGACCUUUUGGACUCCUAUCCGUAUGGAUAAGUCUAUGGUAAGUCGUAUGAGUAUUUUUCUCCUUACGAAUCUUAUGUUGCGCUUGCAUGAUAGGCGAUGGCUAUCUAUCAUGAGCUGAAUUAUAUAUAAAUAUAUAUAUAUAAUUUAUUUUAUUUAUUUAUUUAUUAGAAUCACUUGUUUCAGAAGCUUUGAUCUUUACCGAUUAGGCAAAAAAAGAUUAAUCAUUAUAAUGUGAUGGAAUGAAUCCUUCUGAUCGUAUAUUAUGUGUUGGGAGAAAAUAUCAUUCAUGUCCUUAUCAACCUAAUCAUAAACCUAAACUAAGAUCGAAAUUAAAAAAGGCUUUCUGAUCCCUCUGACGCUCUAGUUAAUCUCGAGAUCAAUUUUUGUGAAUUCAUUUUCUCAAUUUCAGCAUCUCUCUUUGAGGAUAUGUAUUUUAUAUCUGAUAUUAGAGAGAUAAAAUAUUUCUAUGAAGAUUCUAUAGGAAAUAUGAUUUAUAAUCAUCCUAAACGAUCUUUUCGACUCCUAUCUGCAUGGGCAAACAUGUGAUAAAUCGUAUGAGUAUUUUCCUCCUUACGAAUCUUAUGAGGGCUAUCAUGAGCUAAUAUAGUAGCAUCACUUCACUACAGUAGUAGUGAAUGUCAAUACUUUGGAUAAUUCUUAGAUGGCUGCUAAAUAAAGACAGUAGAAAGAAACAGAGGAUAAGAGUCAGCCAAAGGACGUGGAUAACUUCAUCUCCUCCGAGACGCAAAAUAUUCCACAUACUGAUCCUACGCAAUGCAUGCAGGAAAAUACAACGAAAAAGUUGUGCCACCUGACUUCCCCCAACCCCCACAGCAUGCCGAUCCAAUUGCCAGAUUCUGCCCUAUCCAAUCAUCCACUCACACUGCUUCAAAGAUGACUUGGGCAAUGGCAACGCUGCUGAAUACUUCUUCUUCUAAUCCACGCUCUGCACAUGAUGAUAAAAAGCUUUGACUAGUUUCUGUGCUGACAUCCAUCCAACCCUCACUUACACGCCAUCCGUAUCCCAUCAAGAUCUGCUUCGGGGAGCAAAGUAUGAACUAAAAUAAGAUGUCCUCGAAACAUGUCGAGUGUUCCUUCCAUACGGUACGAAGCAACCGAGGCGUUCUGAUCAUGACUUUUCCACCCGUUUCAUUAAAUGCAAGCCACGAAUGGGGACGUAAUGGGAGCGUCUCCGACGACCACCCCUCCUCGCACGACAUGCCUCAAUGCCAUCGCAGUCAAUUCAAAGAAGCACAGCACGAGGCAGGAGCAAGUCGGAUUCCACCUAACCGAGAUUUUUAGCGUGCAGUGCAGGGAGAAAUCUGGGGAUUUGGCAUCUUCGCGAGCGCCCGCAUCGCCAAGUGCUCGGAGAAUCGCCUUGUCUCGCAUCGCUCAGCCUGGAGGAGGCUUCUAGGAAAAGACGAAGGGCUGCCAUCUUUGAAUAUGCUUCCCUUGUGUCAUCCGAAGAGGGUAGAACAGUUACAUUAACAUGAGUGAUUAGGCUUCUGGUGCAAGUCUCCUUUAGAUUUCAAGAUAAUGCAGUCGCACGUCACACUCCCACUGACUCCACCCCACUGAGUUGAGCUUUCAUCGGAUGUGGAAGACGGUGAUAGGGGCAUCUUCCGAAGAUCUCCUACUGCCGGCGAAUCCUUAGUUUUCUGUGACACCAACGUGGAUUUUUGACCCCGUCAAAGUAGCUGACCUGAUAUGAUGAUAUAAUAUAAUAAUAUAAGAAUGAAUGAACCCAAGUCUAUCCUUGUGAUGUUUUCCAGCCCUAUAUAUAUAUAUAUAUAUAUAUAUAUAGAGAGAGAGAGAGAGAGAGAGAGAGAGAGAGAGAGAGGAUGGCAAUAGAGAUAAACUAAUGAUGAUCAAGUCAGUGCCUUGUGUCUUGGGAGGUUUGAUCGUCAAUCUUGAUGCAUAUAUAUAUAUAAUUAUGGCAAGAAGUCAAGAUUUUAAAUGCUUGUUUGACACUAAUUUCAAAUAUUACACUCGUCUGCUUGAUAUUAUAACUAUAUACAAUGGUGGAGACUAGACUGGUCGAGUCAUUGCAUUUGGUAUAUUUUAUAUUAAAAAUAUAAUAAUAAUAAUAAUAAUAAUGUAUAAAUAAAUUUUCUUAAAAGAUCUUCGGUUCUAAUUUAUUCUUUUUUUUUUCUAGUAAAGCAUCUUUUUCUUUAAUUCUCACAUAAUAUUUUUUUUAUUUUUUGAAAGAUGAUAUUAUCCUUGCCUCUAUCCUGUUGAUCAUCGUCUCAAUCUUGUCAUGACUAUUUCUGUUCUAUUAUGCUCAUUGUCACCAUGAGGACCCGAUCGAGUUUUGUUGCUUAAGUCAUGACUUCCAUUAUAACCGAUGAGUAGGAGAGGGAGGAACAAAGGCAUCAAUUAUAAUUGUGUCACCUACUCAAUGAUAAUGAGAAUCUUGUGAUAGCAAAAAUGACAAGCAAUGAUAAAAAGUGAGGGUAGGGCAAUGGCCGACGACCAAUGGAGUGGAGGCAUGGAUAAUAUUUUUUAUAUAAAAAUAAAAAAUAUUUUAUGAAAAUAAGGCAUAAAAAAAUAAUAUACAUGAGGAAAAAAGGGAUAAAAACUUGAGAUUUUUUAAAGAAAAUUUGCCGAGUAACAAAAUAUAAAAGAAUUUGACUAAUAAGAUAGAUUACGAGAAAGACAUAAUGCUACAGUUCAUUCUCUCACUAAUCGGUGCUCAAGAAGUAACCUUAGAACAUAAUGGGGUAAAGAUUUUGACUCCUUUUUUGUUUUUGAGGAACUAAUAGUUAUGAUUAUAUAUAUAUAUAUAAUUUUUAAAAUAACAAAUAUAAAAUAAUUUCUUCUCUUUCAUUCUUAUAAUAAAAAUCGAUUUUCUUCAAAAAUAAGUGUAAAAAUAAAUUAAGUGCAUUUCAAUCUUUUUAAAGUUCACACUGUAUAUAACAAUUAGGAAAUCAAGUCGAUCGAGGAUCUAAUUCUCGACUUUGUAUAGAUUCGGUUCGGAUUUUAUGACUUUGACGACAGCCGUAAGAAAAGAAACGUGAAUUGGGCUUUAAGUGUAUCAUUGAAAAUACAAAGAAAGCAAAAUAAAGUUUGACACUACUUUUUCGAUUAUUCAACUGUCUACCACUUUCUCUCUCUCUCUCUCUCUCUCUCUCUCUCUCUCUCUCUCUAUAUAUAUAUAUAUAUAUAUAUAUAUNNNNNNNNNNNNNNNNNNNNNNNNNNNNNNNNNNNNNNNNNNNNNNNNNNNNNNNNNNNNNNNNNNNNNNNNNNNNNNNNNNNNNNNNNNNNNNNNNNNNNNNNNNNNNNNNNNNNNNNNNNNNNNNNNNNNNNNNNNNNNNNNNNNNNNNNNNNNNNNNNNNNNNNNNNNNNNNNNNNNNNNNNNNNNNNNNNNNNNNNNNNNNNNNNNNNNNNNNNNNNNNNNNNNNNNNNNNNNNNNNNNNNNNNNNNNNNNNNNNNNNNNNNNNNNNNNNNNNNNNNNNNNNNNNNNNNNNNNNNNNNNNNNNNNNNNNNNNNNNNNNNNNNNNNNNNNNNNNNNNNNNNNNNNNNNNNNNNNNNNNNNNNNNNNNNNNNNNNNNNNNNNNNNNNNNNNNNNNNNNNNNNNNNNNNNNNNNNGUUGUGCAGAGUCCCAAACUCUUUUGCUAUCACCAACUGAGCUAAUCAUUUUUGUGUGUGAAAUAAAUCAGUCUUUUCUCUCUCUAUCUCUUUACGUUGUGCAGAGGCCCAAACUCUCUUCUCUCUCUCUCUCUCUCUCGAUGUUGUGCUGAGUCCCAAACUCUUUUGCUAUCACCAACACGGCUAAUAAUUUCUUUGUAUGCAAUAAUUCAAUCUCGGACGUAUCGUGGGCAAAUUGUGUUCGGAUGUCUGUGCUUGAUUGGUCUCAAUAGUCCAUAAUGCCUGCUGUCGUUGAUUAGACAACAUUACAGGUCUAGCAAUCGAAUUAUCAAAGUAAAAAAAUAUAUAUAAUAUAUUUGAUGGUCUGGACAUCUGAUAUGACCGGAAGACAGACUCGGAUGCUCCGAGAAUUAAAGUGCACUCGACUGCAUGUUUUGCAGAUGAUCUAUAUGAGUAAUCGAUAUCAAAUGUAUUUUUUGAUCUCUCUCAAGUAAUAAUCGACAAGAGUAAGACAAUCUUAAUAGACAGUACUGACUUCGAUUCUCAUGCUUAAGUUAAUAUUUUUAUAUUGAAUUAACGAAGAGGAAUCUUUUGUGAGAUUUUUUUCUUUCCAUUUUUAGAAUAUUCCUGUACAUGACAUGGAUCUUGAUUGGAUCUUACCGGACUGUCACGUGUCGAUCUGGACUUAUUAAAAUCGAAUUUAGAUUUGAGACCUAAUAUGGAUAGAAAACGUGUUUGGAAGAGGGAAUUGGGAGAGCAUAGAUCCCGAGAAGUUAUAAUACGCAAUUGUACCUACCAAGGGACCAAGGCCCAGGCCCAGGCCCAGACCCAAUCAAGGAUGGUGGCUCUCGCACCCCAACUCCGGAACGUGGGGCCCAUCCAUCCUGCACCUGUGCUUGACCUCUUCCUCUGAAAGGGCCCGUCAGGCUACACGGUGCGGUAAGUACGUGUCGCUUGCUUACCUGUUCUAUGGUUUCAUAGUGGGCCCCGGCGGUCACCGGACCCGCAGGCGAGCCCGGUGAAAUUAGUGUUUUCCGAUAAAAUGAAAUGCCAUUUUGAAAUUUGAAGAACAAAAUUAAAAUUCUGACCCACGUAGCCGUUGCAGAUGCAGCCAACGGUCUUCUUCCUUCCUUUCAUAUCCCAAUCUCAUUUAUAUUUCCUUUUAUAUAUAUAUAUAUAGAAACGAAUAAAACCCAAGAAAGAAAGAAUCCCUAAUGGCGGACGAGGAGAGAUUGAAAUCGUCGGAGGAGGAGGAGGAGAUCAAGAUCGCUGUCCUCUCCGUACUCAAGAAGGACACCAUUCUUAAGCGCAUCUUCCUCAACGUCUCCCCUCCCCCGACGCCGCCGCCGACGACCGGCGGCGACGCCGUCCGUCCCAGCCGUGGAGGACGAGAAGACGACGACGGGCAAGUGGUCCUCUUCGGUCGGCAUCCGGAUUGCCACGUCGUCGUCGACCACCCCAGCAUCAGUCGCUUCCACGUCGCCGCCCGCCUAGUGCCCCUCCGGCGGAAGCUUUCCGUCACCGAUCUCUCCUCUGGUGCGUUCUCCUCCUGCAACCCCGGUCUUUUCUUCUCGUCGUUGUUCGUUGAUUUGACUCGCUUUUGUAUGCAGUUCAUGGGACUUGGGUUUCGGGUACCAAGAUCCCGCCCAACGUGGCCGUCGACAUGGUGGAUGGCGACACUCUGAGUCUCGGCGCCUCGACGAGGGUUUACAGGCUUGAAUGGGUCUCAUCGAGCCGCGCGCUUGAGAUGGAGAACCUAUUGGAGACACUGGCUGAGGGCAAGGAAGAAACAAAUCAGGUUUUGCGAUCUGUUCCUUCCUAUUUGAUUGGUUUCUUCGCUGUCCACACAACUGUUUGCUCAAGUCCCCAUCUUGCAGGACGAUUCUGGAGACUUGAGGAGUAACACCAAGGAUCCGUUGGCUGCCGUGAUCCCUUCGGCACCGCCUUUGCUGGAAUCUAUCAAUCUGUCGUCUCUGCCAGUGGAACAGGAGCAGCACAGCCCACUACCGGAAGCAGAGAACUCGUGCUUCUUUUCUCCAGUGCCGAUGCUGGAAUGUGAUGCGCCUUUGAUGCCAACCACCGUGGAGAAUUCGAGUACUAAGGUUUCAUCUGCUACUAAGCAACCAUCCGAGAGGAGGGAGCAUCUGAGCCCGGAAAGGUCCGAGGCGAGGAGCAUGCCAUCGAGCCUCUUGUCAUUGAGGAGAAAAUCAAUGUCCGUUGGCUUCCUUCGGACCCUCACGGCAAGGAGAACGGAGAGACUUGGAGAAGCGAGAGCAGAUACCGACGUCCAAGAAGGCACUGGAAAAGACAACUACACUGCCUGUGAACAAGCCAAGAGUGAGGGAAGACUAUGCAGGGUAUUAUUCGACAAUCUGUGUGAAAAUGAGCAAGAUCGAGAGGAAUGUUUUGCUUCAGAUAAGGAGAAUGCGACUCCAAUGUCAGGCUGCCGGAAGACCAAGAGGAGCUACAGAGUCCUGCAAAACUCUGCAUGCGUUGCAGAACAUUCUGAUGCCGAGGUAAAUACGGCUUGCUCUGCUGACAAGGAGAACUGGAAGCAUGAAGUACUGAGUGACUUGAGGCCUAGAAAUCCCACCUCUGAGAGCUCCGUAAGCAGUAGCAAGGGAGAUGUAACUUCUGGUUCAGAUCACAAAAUCUUGAAAUCGAUUACUUCUGCAGCGAACUUGAAGAAGAUGUCGCAUUCAAGCAUCAUCAGAGAUUCUUCAGAUGUGUCAGAAGAAUUGCUCUACAGUGACAAAGUCAACCGGACACCAGAAUCCUGUAAAGAUAUGAAAUCAAGAAGAGUGGUAGGUGGAAAUCUUGCGAAGGCCGGAGAUAAUGACGGUGCACUUCCUUCAGACAAGAAGGAAUUCUCAUUCAGUAGCCAAACUAGAACUGAGGAGGCGAUUGCGAAGAAAAGAGUUGAAAGGAUUCCAUUUCAGCCUGUGCUAGAAAAUUCCGCCUCGGAAAGCAAAUCUUCUGCCUGUAACUGCGCCUCAAUCAAAGAUGAUCUGAGUGUAAAGUGCGAAUCCGAUUGCUCUCCUGUAAGUUUUUAGUAAGCGUUCUUAGUUCUUCCGUCGGUUUGUCAGUCAAGUGUUCGACCGAGUCCAUUUUCCUCGCAGAGACGAUCUAUGGGCGCAGUGCUCCAUAAAGCAGAAGCCAGGAAGAUAUGGAACGUCGUGGUCGACGCAGACUGUUUCCUAGAUGAAGAAUCAAGGAGGUCUUUGCAGCUUCUUGAAGGCCUAAAAGGGACUCACCUCAUCGUUCCAAGACUUGGUAUGUCGGCUCCAUUCCUCCCUCGUUCCAAUGUAACAUCUUUAAGCUGCUCAAGUUCCUCUGUUGCUCCCUACUUUUCAGUCAUCAGGGAACUCGACUGCCUGAAGCGGCGCGAGAGCCUUUUCGGCGGUUCCACGAAGUUGUUGGCAUCCAAAGCGCUGCAGUGGAUAGAAGGGUGCAUGGUGAAGACAAAUUGGUGGAUUCAUGUUCAGAGCUCAGCUGAGACAAUGACAGUGGCACCGACUCCCCCUGUCUCACCUCGAACACUAUCCCUACCCGAGAUUGAUUCCCCCAGUGCAGAGGACCACAUCCUGGACUGUGCACUGUCGUUCAAGAAAGCCAAAAGAGAUGGACAACUCGUCCUCUUAUCCAACAGCAUCACGCUAAAGAUCAAAGCCAUGGCAGAGGUGAAUGGAGCUCCCUGUUCUCUCGAGCGAAUGUUUUCCGCAGCUGAGACUCGGUUUUGCUCUGGUUGCAGGGGUUGCCAUGCGAGACACCGAAGGAAUUCCGUGAGAGCCUCGUGAAUCCAUUCUCGAAGAGGUUUCUCUGGCCGAACAGCAGUCCGAGGGGAUCAACUUGGUGUUGCUCGGAUGAUGUAGGCAUGUUCGAGAAAUGUUUCCGCCACCAACAUCAUCCGCCUGUGAGAAAAGUCGGCAGAGCGGCUGAGGCCGUCAAAGGACUAAAGCUGAUACUGCUCCAUGGUUGCCACCAGCAUGCACAUAUGAGCUCCAAGUAAAAGAAGGCAUCAGUUUCCAUAUUUGGUAAGCGGCUUAACGGAUCCAAUUUCCUAUCCAUUACUUGGAUUGGGCCCGGAUCCGGUUAGGCAUGACGCCAUCUCGAUGUCUUUCUGCUUCCUUUAUAAGAAUACACAUUUGUAUACUCUGUCUGUUUUUUGUCACAGCAGUAUCUCAAAUUUUGCGAGUUACUUUUAUGAUCUGACACAAAAUGAAUUAUAUAUAUGGUAUAAUUAAGGACCAGUUUCUGCAUGUGUUUCUACUUUCUUUGCAAGUUGGGCACUUGAUAAUGGCAUAAAAUUAAGUUCUGCUGCAGUGUGUUUGAUGAUGGUUCUAAUGAUUGAUUCUGCACAACAAAAUUGUGUUGGUGAGGAUGAAAUUGCAUAGAUAAUUGUAAGUAUUUGCUUGAGAUUUGCAUCUUCUUCAUGGAUCAGCAGUACUCAUCAAAUCAUUGCCACAAAUCUGAUACUGGUUCCCAAUCAGUCUCUUUGGCUCUUCAAGGGGAAGAGAAGAAGGUAGGAAAAAACUUAGAACAGUGGUGUUCUGCCACGGGAACAAUGAGGACAUCUCUGGGCCAUUAGAUUUCAGGAAAUCGAAAGCUGAUCAGUGACCAUAGAAUUUGUAUGAACAGGAGAGCAUGAUAAGGUAGACCAAAAGCAUGAGACUAAGAGACAAAGCAAAUGCCUCCAAGAAAACAAUGCAAGAACUAGAGGCGGCUGGUUAGCUACUGUAGCCUCUCUUAUCACCCACUGCAUCCACCAUUCAUAUCCUAAAGCCAGUCUCCACCUCACAACUCCUAUCCUAUCCUCCCUCCAUUUGCUCACCACCUUCAUUUAAACUAUACACACCAUUCCCCUCAACCCUUCAAGAGAGAGAACUCUGUGUUCAGGGAGAGCUACCGCUCAGGGCCGACACCAGGUCACUCUACAGAUGGCCUCAGCUACUCUCCUCAAGUCCUCUUUCCUACCCAAAAGGUCAGAAUGGCACGCAGCUGCGCGCAAAUCCUCCAACCCUCAACCGGUGGCAGUCUCCUUCACCGUCCGCGCCGGCGCCUACUCCGACGAGCUCGUCAAGACCGCGGUAACGCCACCUACUAUGUUCUAUGUUCCGUAUUAAGAUCAAGAUUGAGCACCCUUCACGAUCUGAAGUACCGAAUGCUACAUGCAGAAAACUAUCGCGUCGCCAGGGAGGGGGAUACUCGCCAUGGAUGAAUCCAACGCCACCUGCGGCAAAAGACUCGCAUCAAUUGGGCUGGAGAACACAGAGGCAAACCGACAAGCUUACAGGACCCUCCUUGUCUCAGCUCCUGGUCUGGGCCAGUACAUCUCUGGGGCAAUCCUGUUCGAGGAAACUCUCUACCAGUCAACUACGGAUGGUAAGAAGAUGGUCGAUGUUCUUGUUGAGCAAAAGAUAGCGCCAGGGAUCAAAGUUGACAAGGUGAGCACUCGAUCUUUGGCAACACGUAUGGAAUUGUCAUAUUGUUUUACUCACAUCUAGGAUUGUGUUCUACUUCCAUCCUGUUUGUGUUAUCAGGGUCUGGUGCCACUUACUGGCUCAAAUGAUGAAUCAUGGUGCCAAGGAUUGGAUGGCCUCGCGUCGCGAUGUGCAGCAUACUAUCAACAGGGAGCUCGCUUUGCUAAAUGGUAAGAUACACUGUUGCAUCCUGGAAUUUAAUUGUGUGCAUGUUUGGAGGCCAUGCUUAUGUCCGGCUUGUUGCAGGCGUACAGUGGUCAGCAUUCCAAACGGCCCAUCAGCUCUCGCAGUGAAGGAAGCUGCUUGGGGUCUGGCUCGAUACGCUGCCAUUGCUCAAGUACAUCUCCUUCACUUCCAUUCUUUCAUCAUUAUAGGAUCAGUGAAUACAACUCCUUUCAGUAUGCACACGCUACGAGCAGAAAGCAGCCUCGACUAAUCUUCUCGUCUUGUUUGCAGGACAAUGGCCUGGUUCCAAUUGUGGAGCCUGAGAUACUGCUCGACGGAGAGCACGGGAUCGAUAGGACGUUUGAGGUCGCACAGAAAGUUUGGGCUGAGGUCUUCUUUUACUUGGCUGAGAACAACGUCAUGUUCGAAGGUAUCCUCCUCAAGCCAAGCAUGGUCACCCCCGGCGCCGAGUGCAAAGAGAAGGCCACACCGGAGCAGGUCGCCGACUACACCCUGAAGCUCCUGCACAGAAGAGUCCCAUCUGCUGUUCCUGGCAUUAUGGUACGCAGCACCACCAUGAUCAUCUUGUUCGCUUCUCUCAUAGAGGUGAUGAUUGAUGCCCAUUCACCUGUAAAUGUUUUGGCGAACAGUUCCUCUCCGGUGGACAGUCGGAAGUGGAGGCAACCCUGAACCUGAAUGCCAUGAACCAGAGCCCCAACCCAUGGCACGUCUCCUUCUCUUACGCGAGAGCUCUGCAGAACACCUGCCUGAAGACAUGGGGAGGAAGAC
rnacentral:lncRNA from 1 species